UGAUGAAGGCUUUCGGGUCGUAAAACUCUGUCCUAAGGGAAGAAUAAAUGACGGUACCUUAGGAGGAAGCCCCGGCUAACUACGUGCCAGCAGCCGCGGUAAUACGUAGGGGGCAAGCGUUAUCCGGAAUUAUUGGGCGUAAAGAGUUCGUAGGUGGAUUUACAAGCCUUGGGUGAAAGGCUACGGCUUAACCGUAGUAAGCCUUGGGAACUGUAGAUCUUGAGUGCAGGAGAGGAAAGCGGAAUUCCUAGUGUAGCGGUGAAAUGCGUAGAUAUUAGGAGGAACACCAGUGGCGAAGGCGGCUUUCUGGACUGUUACUGACACUGAGGAACGAAAGCGUGGGGAGCGAACAGGAUUAGAUACCCUGGUAGUCCACACCGUAAACGAUGAAUACUAGGUGUCGGGGGUCGAACCUCGGUGCCGCAGCUAACGCAUUAAGUAUUCCGCCUGGGGAGUACGCACGCAAGUGUGAAACUCAAAGGAAUUGACGGA
rnacentral:rRNA from 1 species